AUCACUAAGCGGAGGAGAAGAAACUAACCAGGAUUCCCCUAGUAACGGCGAGUGAAGCGGGAAGUGCCCAGCACCGAAUCCACUGCGUUCGAUGUAGUUGGAACUGUGGUGUUCUGGACCGCCUCUGGAGCCGUGCCGUGUGCCCGAGUCCUCCUGAUCGGGGCCUUUCCCAUAGCGGGUGUCAGGCCUCUACUGGCAUGUGGCGUGGUCUUCUUUGAGCGUCCUCGGAGUCGGGUUGUUUGGGAAUGCAGCCCAAAGAGGGUGGUAAACUCCAUCUAAGGCUAAAUACGGACACGAGUCCGAUAGCGGACAAGUACCGUGAGGGAAAGUU
rnacentral:rRNA from 1 species